rnacentral:rRNA from 1 species
UACGUAGGGUGCGAGCGUUAAUCGGAAUUACUGGGCGUAAAGCGUGCGCAGGCGGUUUUGUAAGCCAGAUGUGAAAUCCCCGGGCUUAACCUGGGAAUGGCAUUUGGGACUGCAAGGCUGGAGUGUGGCAGAGGAGACUGGAAUUCCCGGUGUAGCAGUGAAAUGCGUAGAUAUCAGGAGGAACACCGAUGGCGAAGGCAGGUCUCUGGGCUGACACUGACGCUCAUGCACGAAAGCGUGGGGAGCAAACAGG